CGGGCAAGCUUGAAAAAUAUGCCUGACCACGGUGGUCAGGCAUAUUUUUCCCACCGUGGUCAGGCAUAUUUUUCAAGCUUGCCCG